GGCGUGGUGGCACACGCCUUUAAUCCCAGCACUCGGGAGGCAGAGGCAGGCGGAUUUCUGAGUUCGAGGCCAGCCUGGUCUACAAAGUGAGCUCCAGGACAGCCAGAGCUAUAAAGAGAAACCCUGUCUCGAAAAACCAAAAAAAAAAAAAAAAAUCUCUCUAAAAAACAAACAAUGCUGAGGUGGUAGGAAAUACCUUUAAUCCUUGUAUUCAGUAGGAAGAGUGGGGUGGAGCUCUGUCAGUUCAAGGCCAGCAUGGUCUACAAAACAAGUUCCACACCAGCCAGAGCUACAAGGCAAAGAUACAAGACCCUGACU
rnacentral:lncRNA from 1 species